UAUGAAGCUUUAGACACAAGGGAGACUACCUUAAUUACCCCUGGAUAAAGGGCAAAAGCUAAAGGUAGCCCUCCCCAGCGUCUUUGGUUGGGGCGACCGCGGGGUAAAACAAAACCCCCAUGUGGAAUAGGAGCACCCCUCCUUCAACCAAGAGCUCCCGCUCUAAGGAACAGAACUUUUGACCAAUCAAUGAUCCGGCAUCGCCGAUCAACGAACCGAGUUACCCUA
rnacentral:rRNA from 1 species